rnacentral:rRNA from 1 species
UACGUAGGGUGCAAGCGUUGUCCGGAAUUAUUGGGCGUAAAGAGCUCGUAGGCGGUCUGUCGCGUCUGCUGUGAAAACUCGGGGCUUAACCCCGGGCCUGCAGUGGGUACGGGCAGACUAGAGUGCGGUAGGGGAGACUGGAAUUCCUGGUGUAGCGGUGAAAUGCGCAGAUAUCAGGAGGAACACCGGCGGCGAAGGCGGGUCUCUGGGCCGAUACUGACGCUGAGGAGCGAAAGCGUGGGGAGCGAACAGG